GAUGAACGCUGGCGGCGUGCCUAAUACAUGCAAGUCGAGCGAACAGACGAGGAGCUUGCUCCUCUGACGUUAGCGGCGGACGGGUGAGUAACACGUGGAUAACCUACCUAUAAGACUGGGAUAACUUCGGGAAACCGGAGCUAAUACCGGAUAAUAUAUUGAACCGCAUGGUUCAAUAGUGAAAGACGGUUUUGCUGUCACUUAUAGAUGGAUCCGCGCCGCAUUAGCUAGUUGGUAAGGUAACGGCUUACCAAGGCAACGAUGCGUAGCCGACCUGAGAGGGUGAUCGGCCACACUGGAACUGAGACACGGGCCAGACUCCUACGGGAGGCAGCAGUAGGGAAUCUUCCGCAAUGGGCGAAAGCUUGACGGAGCAACGCCGCGUGAGUGAUGAAGGUCUUCGGAUCGUAAAACUCUGUUAUUAGGGAAGAACAAAUGUGUAAGUAACUAUGCAUGUCUUGACGGUACCUAAGCAGAAAGCCACGGCUAACUACGU
rnacentral:rRNA from 1 species